GGGGAAGUCUGUUGACAAAGCCACCAGCUGUCCCCAGUUGGAGCCAAGGGAGACAGACUCCUCCCCGAACCACCACCCACACUGGGAGAGUGUUCCUACCAGGACCCAGCCAGCAACGGAACUUGGACCAUCAUGAAGCCUCUGAUCACGGGCUCCAACCGACCUCCUCUCCAGCUGCCACACUAACAAGAGCAAUGGCACAAGACCUCACUCACCCAGCAAGUGCCAGCAGGAAGAAUGGGUCCUGUCCAGAGUAAACACUGAGCAUCCUUCUGUCUGCAAACCUGUUCAGCCUUCAAAACCUAAUGUCCACAGCACCUCAUCCAGGAAACCUCGAGCUGCCUAGAGGAGUGUCACUGGGAAGCCCUGGUUGUCCUGGAACUUGCUCUGUGGAUCAGGUUGGCUUCAAACUCAGAGACUGCCUGCUUCUGCUCCGGAGUGCUGGGAUUAAAGGCAGUUGCCACCACAGCCUGACAAUUUUUUUAAGAAAAAGAAACAGAAACUAAGGUCCAGGGAGAGUAGGAAUCUGUCAGAGCACCAUAAAGUGGAAUCUAGACCAGAGGAGGACCCUGGUUGCCAGAUCUUACCUGGUCUGUGUGAAUGGGACACUGGGUGGGGGAGGGGGGUGUCACCUGCCCAACAUAGAUUCCCCAGGAUCAAGUCUAGACUCUAUUCCUGGAUCCUUGGAGAGGUACCAUAUGGGAAGAGAAGCACUGUGGACCCUGAUGGGAACCAGCAAUAUGGCCAGCCCUUUGUUUUACCCUGCCUGCCUGCUUCAAGGUGAGCAUUCUUAUCUCUAUGUGUCCACCUGUUGGGGUUGGAUGUGAGAUGGAGUAAGAGCCGGAGACCAGAGAGGAGAAAGUGAGGGACAUGACAGGGAUGUCCACACAAAGCACUUAAGACAUGCAGUCACACUCAGGGUACCCAAGAUCAACCCUUUCCCUGCAAGGUGCCCUCCAGCUAGUGCUUAGUUUAGAGGACCAGAAUCCAGGGUCAGCCCUCCCUUACAGUCAUUUGCCUUAGUUCCAGUUGUUAAUUGAACAGCAGUGAUGGUUUCCUUCUUACAUUACUAUAAAGGUUAAGUGAGAUAUUAGGAAACUGCUUAGCAUCUUGUCUAGCAUAGUCAGCCUUGUCCCUGAUAUUUUUGCCCAAUAUCACCUGUCUUCAAAUGCCUUCCUGGAGCUGGCAGCCGGUAGACACUAGAGAUUCCAAAGGGCCAGCUGGUUCCCUGGGUGAAAAAAUGAGGUAAUCAAUGAAAAGGCCUGAAGGAUCCCAACCCCUUCCUGGCAUCCCAGGACCAGUUCUUCUGAGGAAAGAAAGGCAGAGAGAGUAAUCAGGAGCAGAAGGUCCCAGUGGGAGGGCUGAAGCCUACCAUCGGAGACAUGUGUUGAGGGAUGCCCUGCAGUCUGGAGACCAGUGACUUCUGUGGGAAGAACAGGUGGGACUCUGUCCUUCCUGGAGAGGAGGCCUACUGGGCCAAUGAGUGACAAGCAUGAAGUAUCAGAGCCACAGUCUGAUGUAAAGAUUUGGAAACCUACCUCUAAAAUUCUGUCAUCUUAAGUUCUGACGGACAUUGCUUCUUGGUCCUUUGGCUGUGGUCACAUGAAAAGUUCUGAAGUGCCAUGUCUUUAUGAGUCUUGGGUUCUAAUAUGGGAUCCUCAGGUUCUAAAAUUGCUCUGUCAUUGGAAACAUAGCAAAACCUAGAAUACACAUCUGUGAUUAAGAGGGCUAA